rfam:Agrilus planipennis Contig61036, whole genome shotgun sequence.
CCUUUCGUAGCUUAGUGGUUAGAGUAUUGGUGCGCAAAGCCGAAGGUUCUGGGUUCGAUUCCCGGCGAGGGUG